GGACGCUUUUGGGGUUUCGGCCUCAAGGGAGUGGCGGACGGGUGAGUAGCGCGUGGGAACCUGCCUUGGAGUGGGGGAUAACCGAGGGAAACUUCGGCUAAUACCGCAUGCGCCCCGGCGCGAGCCGGGGGAAAGAUUGAUCGCUCCAAGAGGGGCCCGCGUCGGAUUAGGUAGUUGGUGGGGUAACGGCCUACCAAGCCUUUGAUCCGUAGCUGGUCUGAGAGGAUGAUCAGCCACACUGGGACUGAGACACGGUCCAGACUCCUACGGGAGGCAGCAGUGGGGAAUCUUGCACAAUGGGCGAAAGCCUGAUGCAGCGACGCCGCGUGGGGGAUGAAGCUUCUCGGAGUGUAAACCCCUUUCGACUGGGACGAAUGCCCGCAAGGGAGUGACGGUACCAGUAGAAGAAGCCCCGGCUAACUACGUG
rnacentral:rRNA from 1 species